CGAACGCUGGCGGCGUGCCUAAUACAUGCAAGUCGUGCGAGAAAGCCUGCUUCGGUAGGUAAGUAAAGCGGCGACCUGGUGAGUAACACGUGGACAAUCACCUUUGAGUUGGGGAUAAGCUUCCGAAAGGGGGGUCUAAUACCGAAUAAUAUCGCUUGAUGGCAUCAUCGGGCGAUCAAAGGCGGCGCAAGCUGUCGCUUAGAGAUGAGUCCGCGCUCCAGUUAGCCAGUUGGCGGGGUAAAAGCCCACCAAAGCUACGAUGGAUAGCCGGCCUGAGAGGGUGUACGGCCACACUGGAACUGAGAUACGGUCCAGACUCCUACGGGAGGCAGCAGUAGGGAAUAUUGCGCAAUGCCCGCAAGGGUGACGCAGUGACGCCGCGUGGGCGAUGAAGCUUUCUUGGAGUGUAAAGCCCUGUCGGGAGGGACGAAUGAUUGCAGUCGUAACUGGCUGCGAUUUGACGGUACCUUCAGAGGAAGCUCCGGCCAACUCCGUGCCAGCCGCUGC
rnacentral:rRNA from 1 species